AGUGAACGCUGGCGAUAGGCCUAACACAUGCAAGUCGAACGGCAGCACAGUAAGAGCUUGCUCGUACGGGUGGCGAGUGGCGGACGGGUGAGGAAUACAUCGGAAUCUACUUUUUCGUGGGGGAUAACGUAGGGAAACUUACGCUAAUACCGCAUACGACCUACGGGUGAAAGCAGGGGAUCUUCGGACCUUGCGCGAUUGAAUGAGCCGAUGUCGGAUUAGCUAGUUGGCGGGGUAAAGGCCCACCAAGGCGACGAUCCGUAGCUGGUCUGAGAGGAUGAUCAGCCACACUGGAACUGAGACACGGUCCAGACUCCUACGGGAGGCAGCAGUGGGGAAUAUUGGAGAAUGGGCGCAAGCCUGAUCCAGCCAUACCGCGUGGGUGAAGAAGGCCUUCGGGUUGUAAAGCCCUUUUGUUGGGAAAGAAAAGCAGCAGGUUAAUACCCCGCUGUUCUGACGGUACCCAAAGAAUAAGCACCGGCUAACUUCGUG
rnacentral:rRNA from 1 species